CCUACGGGAGGCAGCAGUGGGGAAUAUUGCACAAUGGGGGAAACCCUGAUGCAGCGACGCCGCGUGAGUGAAGAAGUAAUUCGUUAUGUAAAGCUCUAUCAGCAGGGAAGAAAAUGACGGUACCUGAGUAAGAAGCCCCGGCUAACUACGUGCCAGCAGCCGCGGUAAUACGUAGGGGGCAAGCGUUAUCCGGAUUUACUGGGUGUAAAGGGAGCGUAGACGGCAGUGCAAGUCUGGAGUGAAAGGCGGGGGCUCAACCCCCGGACUGCUCUGGAAACUGUACGGCUGGAGUGCAGGAGAGGCAAGUGGAAUUCCUAGUGUAGCGGUGAAAUGCGUAGAUAUUAGGAGGAACACCAGUGGCGAAGGCGGCUUGCUGGACUGUAAAUGACGCUGAGGCUCGAAAGCGUGGGGAGCAAACAGGAUUAGAUACCCUUGUAGUC
rnacentral:rRNA from 1 species